rnacentral:sRNA from 1 species
UGUUCUGGAUUAAUAAAGUGAACGUGUGUAUCAAUACCACCAGCUGUCACAAUUUUACCUUCAGCUGAAAUAAUAUCUGUUGUCGCACCAAUAAUGAUAUCAAUAUUAUCCAUAAUAUCUGGAUUACCUGCUUGGCCAAUAGCAAAGAUGUAGCCAUUUUUAAUGCCAAUAUCUGCUUUAACUACUUUAUCGUAAUCUAUAAUAACUGCAUUUGUUAUAACUAAAUCUGCAACAUAACGGUCGUCACGUGUCACGUUAGGAUUUUGCCCCAUACCGUCAC